rnacentral:rRNA from 1 species
GUCUGCUUAACUGCGUUUCACUAAGGGCCUAUAAAUUUACGUAUGUUGUAUCGCACUUUGACCCCUUUCUUUAAUUAGAAAGCGCGUGUCUUAGUUUCGCUUUGCUCAUACAAUUAGGUCCUGAAAGCAACGAACGUGACCGCAACCUCUUGUUGCCUUUAUACCAAACAUGUUUAUUCAUUUUUUAAUGAUCAUUCAUGAAAAAAGGCUUUUUAAACUAGAGGGACCGCUGUUACUUUCUUAAACCAGAGGAAGGUUGCGGCAAUAACAGGUCUGUGAUGCCCUUAGAUGUUCCGGGCUGCACACGUGCUACAAUGAUUAUUGCAGUGAGCAUCUCAUUUUUACACACCGCAUGCGCGAGUCCAUUUAUUUACCUUCGGGUGUUUUAAAUGUGUACCUCUGCGCGCGGUAAAGCCUGCUUCGAAAGUAAGUGGGUAAUCAAUUAGAAGUAAUGAUUGGCCUUUUUUAGCACACAUAUAACGGCGUCUAUGCCCGGGUUACCUUGUUGUAGCUUUUGUGUGUAUAGAUGUUUUUUCCGUAUGUGCGAUUGUCAAUUCAUGGUGGGGACAGACCAUUGUUAAUUGUUGGUCUCGGUCUUAACUAGGAAUGCCUUGUACGGGUCUUUGGUUCAACAAACCACCCGGAAUACGUCCCUGCCCUUUGUACACACCGCCCGUCUCUUCUACCGAUGGACUUCUCUGUGAGUUUGAGGGACUGGGAACACAGGAAUUUAUUUCUGCACACCUAUGGAAACUUAAACGAACAGUGCGGUCUAAAGGAAAGAGAAGUCGUAACAAAGGCAUA